rnacentral:rRNA from 1 species
UAGUCAUAUGCUUGUUUCAAAGAUUAAGCCAUGCAAGUCUAAGUGUAAAUAUUACUAUAGUGAAACUGCGAAAAGCUCAUUAUAACACUUAUAAUUAAAACGGUCUAGAUUUAUAUGGAUAUCCAUGGUAACUCUGGUGUUAAUACAUGCUGCGGAAUUUGUUAUGCAAAUUCUCGACCAAUUGAUUACAUUCAAUCAUGCUCUGCAUGCAAAUUGAAUAAGUUGGUUCCGAAAAUCGUUUUUUACGAUAUGCCGUUUUAGUUUGUGACCUAUCAGCUUUGUCGGUAAGGUAUUGGCUUACCAAGGCUAUUACGGGUAACGGGGAAUUAGGGUUCGAUUCCGGAGAGGGAGCCUGAGAAACGGCUACCACAUCUAAGGGUGGCAGCAGGCGCGCAAAUUACCCAAUCCCGAACUGGGGAGGUAGUGACAAAAAAUAACAGCACAAAGCUUUUGCAUUGUGACUGUCAUGAGUGCAACUUAAAAAAGUGUACGAGUAUCGAUU